rnacentral:rRNA from 1 species
UCCCAGACUCCUACGGGAGGCAGCAGUGGGGAAUAUUGCACAAUGGGGGAAACCCUGAUGCAGCGACGCCGCGUGAGUGAAGAAGUAUUUCGGUAUGUAAAGCUCUAUCAGCAGGGAAGAAAAUGACGGUACCUGACUAAGAAGCUCCGGCUAAAUACGUGCCAGCAGCCGCGGUAAUACGUAUGGAGCAAGCGUUAUCCGGAUUUACUGGGUGUAAAGGGAGCGCAGGCGGCUUUGCAAGUCUGAUGUGAAAGGCCAGGGCUCAACCCUGGGACUGCAUUGGAAACUGUAAAGCUAGAGUGCCGGAGAGGUAAGCGGAAUUCCUAGUGUAGCGGUGAAAUGCGUAGAUAUUAGGGGGAACGCCAGUGGCGAAGGCGGCUUACUGGACGGCAACUGACGCUGAGGCUCGAAAGCGUGGGGAGCAAACAGGAUUAGAUACCCUGGUAU